ACUUUGUCCUGGCAUAACAGCCUCGCCAACACCAUUCCCAGUUUCCUGCUGUUCCCCAGCUUUGGGGCUGGGAGGAGCAAACCCACCCCCACCCCCACCUCCACCCUACCAGCAACCCACCUUCAGCACAAGCACUCCUUUGCCUAGGAAGAGGCAGGCUUCAGUUCUUCCAUUGCUCUAUGCUUCAACCUCAAUCGGUCUCCAGCUCUUUAAAUGCCUAGGAAUUUGGAAAUAAUCACUGGCUUCCUAUUGCAAACUAGUGAUACUCUUGAACUCAGUCUCAUCCAGAUCAUCCCAGAACAACUCUCACAGCUUCUUAUCCUAUCGAUGCACUCACUGGCUGUGGGUGUGCAGUAAGUGUGAAAAAAAAUGAAAAGGUAACUAUAAAGCAGAAACAAUAAAUCUAUACAAGUUCUAGAAAACCACCAACAUUCUACAGUCAUUAACUAAACCAUUAAUCAAAUAGGUGUAGUUUUCAACCAGAAAGAAGCCUUCAGAUGGCCAACCAUUUGUUACAUCAUAGCUUAUGAAAUAAUCCAUCUUUUUUUCAUAAGCCAGCCUUCCUGCUCAGCAGUACACUAGGAGACAAAUCUUUCAGCUACUUCUGCUGGUGUCCUAUUGCCUGCAACCUGAGUUUAGGAAGGAUACAUUAAAGUGUAGAGAAGCAAGAAGAAGAAGGCCUUGUAGGGCAGAGCCCAUGCUUAGAAGAGGGAAAUUACCCUUGAGGACAAGGAAAACUUCUUCUGAGAACCAGUCUCAUCUCCUUGAGAGCUGACAGCUGUAGGCCUCCUUCAGCUCCUUUGCAGAAACAGAAUUGACGAUCAGCCAGACAGGACCCUGACAGUGACUGCAGAAUUGUGCAUGCCCACUACCCUCCGGCACCAACUUUUUCUCUAUUUAUAAACCCAAAUUCAUGUCGUUAACCAGAAGUUGGACCUGGGGUCAGGAACUACCUUUAUUAAUUUCUCUUCUCUGUAUGGUCACAUUAAAUAAACCUCUCGCUACUUUCUACU